rnacentral:rRNA from 1 species
GACGAACGCUGGCGGCGUGCCUAAUACAUGCAAGUCGAACGCUUUUUCUUUCACCGGAGCUUGCUCCACCGAAAGAAAAAGAGUGGCGAACGGGUGAGUAACACGUGGGUAACCUGCCCAUCAGAAGGGGAUAACACUUGGAAACAGGUGCUAAUACUGUAUAACACUAUUUUACGCACGGAAGAAAGAUGAAAGGCGCUUUUGCGUCACUGAUGGAUGGACCCGCGGUGCAUUAGCUAGUUGGGUAGGUAACGGCUCACCAAGGCAACGAUGCAUAGCCGACCUGAGAGGGUGAUCGGCCACACUGGGACUGGGACACGGCCCAGACUCCUACGGGAGGCAGCAGUAGGGAAUCUUCGGCAAUGGACGAAAGUCUGACUGAGCAACGCCGCGUGAGUGAAGGAGGUUUUCGGAUCGUAAAACUCUGUUGUUAGAGAAGAACAAGGAUGAGAGUAGAACGUUCAUCCCUUGACGGUAUCUAACCAGAAAGCCACGGCUAACUACGUGCCAGCCGCCGCAGUAA